UACGAAGGGGGCGAGCGUUGUUCGGAUUUACUGGGCGUAAAGGGCGCGUAGGCGGCACGGCAAGUCGGGAGUGAAAGCCCGGGGCUCAACCCCGGAGGGUCUUCCGAAACUGCCGGGCUAGAGUGCGGAAGAGGCAACCGGAAUUCCCAGUGUAGCGGUGAAAUGCGUAGAUAUUGGGAAGAACACCGGAGGCGAAGGCGGGUUGCUGGGCCGACACUGACGCUGAGGCGCGAAAGCCAGGGGAGCAAACGGG
rnacentral:rRNA from 1 species